ensembl:lncRNA
CAGACAGAGAGGAGGUUUAUAUGAGGAAUGACAGACAGAGAGGAGGUUUAUAUGAGGAAUGAUAGACAGAGGAGAUUUAUAGGGGUACAGGAUGAGGAAUGACAAACAGAGAGGAGGUUUAUUUGAGGAAUGGCAGACAGAGAGGAGGUUUAUAGGGGUACAGGAUUAGGAAUGACAAACCGAGAGGAGGUUUAUAAGGGUACAGGAUGAAGAAUGACAGACAUAGAGGUUUAAAGGAGGAAUGACAGACAGAGAGGAGGUUUAUAUGAGGAAUGACAGACAGAGAGGAGGUUUAUAUGAGGAAUGACAGACAGAGAGCAGGUUUAUAGGGGUGCAGGAUGAGGAAUGACAGACAGAGAG